UACGGGGGGGGGCAAGCGUUUGUUCGGAAUUACUGGGCGUAAAGGGCUCGUAGGCGGCCAACUAAGUCCGACGUGAAAUCCCCAGGCUUAACCUGGGAACUGCGUCGGAUACUGGAUGGCUUGAAUUCGGGAGAGGGAUGCAGAAUUCCAGGUGUAGCGGUGAAAUGCGUAGAUAUCUGGAGGAAUACCGGUGGCGAAGGCGGCAUCCUGGACCGACAUUGACGCUGAUGAGCGAAAGCGAGGGGAGCAAACGGG
rnacentral:rRNA from 1 species